GAUGAAGAACGUAGCGAAAUGCGAUAAGUAAUGUGAAUUGCAGAAUUCAGUGAAUCAUCGAAUCUUUGAACGCACCUUGCGCCCUUUGGCCAUUCCGAAGGGCAUGCCUGUUUGAGUAUCAUGAACACCUCAACUCUUCAUGGUUUUCCAUGAUGAGCUUGGACUUUGGGGGUCUUGCUGGCCUGUGGGUCGGCUCCUCUCAAAUGAAUCAGCUUGCCGGUUUUUGGUGGGCAUCACAGGUGUGAUAACUAUCAACGCUUGUGGUUUUCCACCAGGGUAACCUUCAGCAGUGGAGGUUCACUGGGGCUUACAAAUGUCUCUCCUCUGUGAGGACAGCCCUUUGAAUGUUUGAUCUCAAAUCAGGUAGGACUACCCGCUGAACUUAAGCAUAUCAAUAAGCGGAGGA
rnacentral:misc_RNA from 1 species